CAACAGAGGAGGAACAGAGAACAUCUCAUGAGCGCAGGAAGAAAACCCAGAGAGAUCUCCGGAGAUUUGUUGUCCGACCUCAACAUGUACACAGUAUGCCUGUACUUAUACAUGCACUGAAGUCCAGUAUUAACCACAAAGUACGACUCUGUAACAGAUUAGUAAGAGAAACCCAGGAAGUAAUCCACAGGGGAUCAGGAACUGCAUUCCACAGAAGGAUAGAAAGGAGUCUCACUCUAUUAAUAGAGCCAUGUACAUGAUGAACUCAAGGACUUGAACUUG